UCGAGGCCCUGCGCCUCUGUCUGCACCCGAGGCGACAGCCCAGCUUACCCCCGGCUCUUCUGAGCACAGGGAGGCCUCCCAGCAAAGCCUGAAACCCUCUAAGUUUAGCUGCAGGCUUCGAACCCCCACCGUCCCCGCCCAGCCUUGGGCUGCUGAGGUGGGGAUGAACUGGGCGAAGGACACUUGGGAGUUAGGAAGAAACAAACAAGCAGGGAAGUGACCGGGAGAUGAGAAUGAAUAUAGGAAUGUCUGUCUGCCUGUCUGUGCAUACUCUGUGAAGGAAUACACCAGCAUUACAUGCUGACCCAAGGUACGCCUUCUGCAAGAGGAAAGUUUGUGUCUCAAAAUCCAUCAAGUGAAAGAGAACAGAAAAAUUCAGAGGGCAUCAUUCACGGUAAG